rnacentral:rRNA from 1 species
UACGGAGGGAGCUAGCGUUGUUCGGAAUUACUGGGCGUAAAGCGCACGUAGGCGGCUUUGUAAGUUAGAGGUGAAAGCCCGGGGCUCAACUCCGGAACUGCCUUUAAGACUGCAUCGCUUGAAUCCAGGAGAGGUGAGUGGAAUUCCGAGUGUAGAGGUGAAAUUCGUAGAUAUUCGGAAGAACACCAGUGGUGAAGGGACG